rnacentral:rRNA from 1 species
UACGAAGGGGGCUAGCGUUGCUCGGAAUUACUGGGCGUAAAGCGCACGUAGGCGGCUUUCUAAGUCGGGGGUGAAAUCCUGGAGCUCAACUCCAGAACUGCCUUCGAUACUGGAGAGCUUGAGUCCGGGAGAGGUGAGUGGAACUGCGAGUGUAGAGGUGAAAUUCGUAGAUAUUCGCAAGUACACCAGUGGCGAAGGCGGCUCACUGGCCCGGUACUGACGCUGAGGUGCGAAAGCGUGGGGAGCAAACAGG